AAAAAAAAAUGAUAAAAUAAUAAUAAUAAUAAUAAUAACAAAAAGAGGAGAUUCUUCUGUCUCUCAAUGGCAUGAUCAAGACCGAGAUCUUGAACCCAAUUAAUUGUGCCAUCUACAUAUGUUUGAAGGUGUAUUGAAAAAUGUGGAGUUGCUGUUGGGUCCGACAGCCAGAGUAAGAGCGGAACAAUAAAAACAUUCUAGUGCUCUACUUAGCUUCACUUCCUUUGUUGUUUAUUUGUUCGAACUUCAAAAAACACCAAGAACCAAGAGUAAAUGGAGCCGGAUGUGGACGACGACUUUCAGAACAGGCAGCAGAGUAAAAGUUUUGAGGCGGUAGUGACUGGAGGCUGAACGGACGAACGACAACAACUUGACGGGAAAAGAAGAAGGAACAUGGAGCAGCUCGUACGUGAGGUCCAAUGGAGGAAGAAGCCUAGGUCCGACGGCGAAUUGUUCUUUGGAGAGUACUUAAGGUCGAUAGCAAUAAAGAAAACUGGGGGAGGGGCGGCGCCUGAAGGCUGAAGGGGAGGAAGAAGCCUAGGUUUCUUCUUUUCUUUCUCUUUCUAUUUUCCAUGUUUAAUGACUUUUUUAAAAAAAAAACUCAAAACAAUUAAAUAUGUCCUUGAAAAAAGAGAAUUUUAGUUUUUAAAAAUAUUUGAGUUUGUCUUUUAUCAA